UACGGGGGGAGCAAACGUUGUUCGGAAUCACUGGGCGUAAAGGGCGUGUAGGCGGCUGGAUAAGUGGGAUGUUAAAUCCCCCGGCUCAACCGGGGACCUGCAUCUCAUACUGUUCAGCUCGAGCACAUCAGAGGAGACUGGAAUUCCCGGUGUAGCGGUGAAAUGCGCAGAUAUCAGGAGGAACACCGAUGGCGAAGGCAGGUCUCUGGGCCAUAACUGACGCUGAGAAGCGAAAGCAUGGGGAGCGAACAGG
rnacentral:rRNA from 1 species